AACGAACGCUGGCGGCAUGCCUAACACAUGCAAGUCGAACGAGAUCCUUCGGGGUCUGGUGGCGCACGGGUGCGUAACGCGUGGGAAUCUGCCCUUAGGUUCGGAAUAACAGUUAGAAAUGACUGCUAAUACCGGAUGAUGACGUUAAGUCCAAAGAUUUAUCGCCUGAGGAUGAGCCCGCGUAGGAUUAGCUAGUUGGUGUGGUAAAGGCGCACCAAGGCGACGAUCCUUAGCUGGGCUGAGAGGAUGAUAAGCUACACUGGGACUGAGACACGGCCCAGACUCCGACGCAGCGGAGGAGUGGGGAAUAUUAGGGGCUGGGCGCAAGCGUGGUCCAGCAGUGUGGGGUGAGUGGUGAAUGCCGUAGGGUUCUAAUGCCCUUUUACCCGAGAUGAUAAUGACAGUAUCGGGAGAAUAAGCCCCGGCUAACUCCGUG
rnacentral:rRNA from 1 species